UACAGAGGGGGCAAGCGUUAUUCGGAAUUACUGGGCGUAAAGGGCGCGUAGGCGGGGUGGCAAGUCGGUCGUGAAAUCCCUCGGCUCAACCGAGGAACGUCGAUCGAUACUGCUGUUCUUGAGGAUUGCAGAGGAGACUGGAAUUCCCGGUGUAGCGGUGAAAUGUGUAGAGAUCGGGAGGAACACCGGUGGCGAAGGCGGGUCUCUGGGCAAUUCCUGACGCUGAGGCGCGAAAGCGUGGGGAGCAAACGGG
rnacentral:rRNA from 1 species